UCAUGCGAAAGUAAGGAAGUGUUCUUCACUACUAACUCCCGAUGUUACGUUGUCGGCCGCCAACGUAACCCUCCGCGAAGUUAGGAGUUAUACACUUCAAUUUAACUCCACUUUCUAGAGUUAUUCAAGAUACCCAAUCUAGAUACUUUCGCUUACAAGUCGAAUAGACCUCGUCUCUCACGAGCCUAUUUCCUAUAGUCCAACCGGCCUAAGGUUUGCUAGGUCCACUAAGACUCAACCCUAGGCUCUGAUACCAAAUUAAUCUGCCACGCCCCGGGGCUCAGCGGAAGCCUACCCGGCGCGUGUCCAGACCCGCCAUACGUCUAAAACAUAUAAGGCGUCUACAAAAAUAUUUCGAUAGAUAAAACAAUAAUACAAGAGAUCUAGUGAUAUCAGAGCAUUGUAAAACUAGUUCUAUAACAAGGAAAGGACACAAAGCUGAAAGUCCACUAAAGAAAAACAUAAAGUAAGUACAAUAGGGAUCCUAUAUCAUGUGCUAAAAGGAGUACAAGGUGGUAUCUCUAUAUAUGGUACAAAACCUCUCCCUCUCUCACAAAAUAUAAAAUGGAGGAGUAACCACCUAGCGCAAAAGAACUCUCCGUGAGCUAGCUACGCGACACCCUUGCCGCGAUCCCGUGCCUCCGCCGGUGCCGAAGGCUCUGAAAAGGAAACAUAGAAACAGGGGCGUGAGAACUAUUAAAAAUAGUUCCCAGUGGGCAAUUACUGACUUCAGUGAAAUGCACCACUAGUGGUGCACUUAUCUGAAGUCAGUAAUUGCCCACUGGGAACUAUCAUCUAAUAAUUAUCACGUCCUCUGUUCUAUGGUUUCUUUCAAAGCCUUCAGCACCGGUGGAGGCAUGGGAUCGCGGCAAAGGUGUCGCGUAGAUAGAUAGCGAGGAUUUUCUUUUGCUUAGGUGGUUUUUUCUCUUUGUUUGUUGUUGUGAGAGAGAGGUUUUUGUAUCCAUGUAUAGAAACCACUUAUGUACGACUAUUGGCACUUGUAUUUGGAAUCUUAGUUGUUCUACUUUUUUUUAUUUUAGUGGAUUUUAGUUUUUUGUUUACUCUCUUAUUGUAGAAUUUAGUUGUACUUUGCUCUGAAACUCCUAGUUGUUUCUUUUCUAUUUGUUUUACUUAUUGUUUAUUAUAGACGCCUUAUAUGUUUUAGACGUAUGGCGGGUCUGGACACGUGUUGGGCGGGCUUCCGCUGGGCCCCGGAGCGUGACAUAGUUUUAAUAUAUAUAUUUAUUAAAAAUAUUUAUAAAAUAUUAUAAUUAUUUAUACUAUAUAUGUUUUUAGUUUUUCAAGCCUAAUUCACACAACUCAAUUAAUACUCAAACUCAGCUCAUUUAAUAGCGAGCGGAAUAUCAAGCUGAACGCGAGCCGAAUACGAGCUAGCCGAGUUAAAUUAGCCUAGAUGUUGGAGAAAUAGUUUUCGCUGAAAUAAUUUUAUUUUGGAGAAUA
rnacentral:lncRNA from 1 species